rnacentral:rRNA from 1 species
GAUGAACGCACAAGACGUGCCUAACACAUGCAAGUCGAGCGGAAACGAUGGGAGCUUGCUCCCAGGCGUCGAGCGGCGGACGGGUGAGUAACACUUAGGAAUCUACCUAGUAGUGGGGGAUAGCUCGGGGAAACUCGAAUUAAUACCGCAUACGACCUACGGGAGAAAGGGGGCAGUUUACUGCUCUCGCUAUUAGAUGAGCCUAAGUCGGAUUAGCUAGAUGGUGGGGUAAAGGCCUACCAUGGCGACGAUCUGUAGCUGGUCUGAGAGGAUGAUCAGCCACACCGGGACUGAGACACGGCCCGGACUCCUACGGGAGGCAGCAGUGGGGAAUAUUGGACAAUGGGGGAAACCCUGAUCCAGCCAUGCCGCGUGUGUGAAGAAGGCCUUUUGGUUGUAAAGCACUUUAAGCAGUGAAGAAGACCUAACGGUUAAUACCCGUUAGCGAUGACAUUAGCUGCAGAAUAAGCACCGGCUAACUCUGUGCCAGCCGCCGCCGUAAAAC